ACUCCUACGGGAGGCAGCAGUGGGGAAUUUUGGACAAUGGGCGCAAGCCUGAUCCAGCCAUUCCGCGUGAGUGAAGAAGGCCUUCGGGUUGUAAAGCUCUUUCGCAAGGGAAGAAAACUUACCUUCUAAUAAAGGGUGAGGCUGACGGUACCUUGAUAAGAAGCACCGGCUAACUACGUGCCAGCAGCCGCGGUAAUACGUAGGGUGCGAGCGUUAAUCGGAAUUACUGGGCGUAAAGCGUGCGCAGGCGGUUUUGUAAGUCAGAUGUGAAAGCCCCGGGCUCAACCUGGGAACUGCGUUUGAAACUACAAGGCUAGAGUAUGGCAGAGGGGGGUAGAAUUCCACGUGUAGCAGUGAAAUGCGUAGAGAUGUGGAGGAAUACCAAUGGCGAAGGCAGCCCCCUGGGUCAAUACUGACGCUCAUGCACGAAAGCGUGGGGAGCAAACAGGAUUAGAUACCCUGGUAGUCCACGCCCUAAACGAUGUCUACUAGUUGUUGGGAGAGUAAAAUCUCUUAGUAACGCAGCUAACGCGUGAAGUAGACCGCCUGGGGAGUACGGUCGCAAGAUUAAAACUUAAAGGAAUUGACGG
rnacentral:rRNA from 1 species